rnacentral:rRNA from 1 species
UACGAAGGGGGCUAGCGUUGCUCGGAAUCACUGGGCGUAAAGGGUGCGUAGGCGGGUCUUUAAGUCAGGGGUGAAAUCCUGGAGCUCAACUCCAGAACUGCCUUUGAUACUGAGGAUCUUGAGUUCGGGAGAGGUGAGUGGAACUGCGAGUGUAGAGGUGAAAUUCGUAGAUAUUCGCAAGAACACCAGUGGCGAAGGCGGCUCACUGGCCCGAUACUGACGCUGAGGCACGAAAGCGUGGGGAGC